UAUGACGUCACGAUUUCAGAAAAUAGACCGCAGAAGUCACUUAAGUGAAAAUGAAAGUAAGAGACAGAAAAGGCCGUUACAAGGCCAAAAACAAACGCAAGUUGAGAAAAGAACCUAAUAUUCAUGUGGAUCAUAAUAACCCUCACGUAUUGAACAUUUGUAAGUGCAAAAUUGGUAAUUGUCCAAUUUAUGAACACCGACAGAAGGGAUCGGCAGGUGGGUGGAGAAAAGACAUGAAAGAUAGACGGGUGAUUGAGUUCGACGAUUUAGUUAGAAAUUUAGCUCACUGCAAGGAAUGUCGUCUUGGACCUUUAUUCUCACAAGCGACAACAUUGUGGGGGAGCUGCAAAAUGGCUUGGGUGGCUAUCUGUACGUUAUGUGUUCGAAUUUAGAGUGAGGAGAUGUAAAUUUGGUUUCAUAUGGAACAACACACCUCAAAAAAACGAAGGGAUGUCCUGCUUUGAAAUAAACACAAAGCUUGGAUUUGCAAUGAUUGACAGCAUUGGUGGGCUGUCAAAGUUAACAAUUUCUUUGCCACUCUUGAUCUUGCUGAUAAGCCUAGAAAAUCUUAAGGAAAUUGAGAGAAGGGCUGGUGAAGUGAUAGAAGCUGUCUGAGCAAAAUCACAGAGACGGUCAGCUGAAGAGGCUUACAAAU